GCCCGGGUAGCUCAAUCGGUAGAGCGUGUGGCUCUUAACCUCAAGGUCGCGGGUUCCCGCCUCGGGCU
rnacentral:tRNA from 1 species